AUUGAACGCUGGCGGCAUGCCUUACACAUGCAAGUCGAGCGGUAGCACAGAGAGCUUGCUCUCGGGUGACGAGCGGCGGACGGGUGAGUAAUGUCUGGGAAACUGCCUGAUGGAGGGGGAUAACUACUGGAAACGGUAGCUAAUACCGCAUAACGUCGCAAGACCAAAGUGGGGGACCUUCGGGCCUCAUGCCAUCAGAUGUGCCCAGAUGGGAUUAGCUGGUAGGUGGGGUAACGGCUCACCUAGGCGACGAUCCCUAGCUGGUCUGAGAGGAUGACCAGCCACACUGGAACUGAGACACGGUCCAGACUCCUACGGGAGGCAGCAGUGGGGAAUAUUGCACAAUGGGCGCAAGCCUGAUGCAGCCAUGCCGCGUGUGUGAAGAAGGCCUUCGGGUUGUAAAGCACUUUCAGCGGGGAGGAAGGCAUUAAGGUUAAUAACCUUAGUGAUUGACGUUACCCGCAGAAGAAGCACCGGCUAACUCCGUGCCAGCCGCCGCAGUAA
rnacentral:rRNA from 1 species